AGCUCUUGGCAGCACUAGGGCUCCUCAGGUGUAUGCCGUUGCUUUUUUUGUUUUUCUCUUUGAGCAGCAUCUGUUCUGAACGUCAGAUUAGCUGUGUCUCUUGAAGGGGCCCAUGAGCUGGCCCUGUCUCAUCUGUCACAGUGAGGCUGCAGGAGAGGGGCUGAGGGGGCAACAGAACUAACAGGGUCAAGACCGGUGCCCCAGGGAGCUGGAUGAUGCCAGGGGACCAGGUAUCCUGAGAUGGGCCCUAAUCACCUAUUUCAGAGACUUGGGAAAAAAGGCUUCUGAAAUCCUUAGGCUGCAUCUCUGGAACCCCGUCUCCAGGGCCUCUCUGUGCACCUUCUAAACUCACUUCGCCAGGGAUUCCCAGGUCUCUGUCCCAGCAGAAACUCCACCUGUAAAGUGGUUCAUUCUCUUCUGCAAAGAAUGACUACAAAGCUCGGGUGUAUUUCACUUCACUCUGCUCUGAGCAAAGGGCUAAUGUUCCACAGAAAGGAAACAGUGACCUCCACUCUGCAGAAGCGAGAGAAACAACUGUGGAGAAGACUUAUUUCUGCAGCGUUAGGUGACCUUCAAAAGUGAUAGUGAUGAAAAGCAAGAGAUGCUGCCAGGCCCCAGCUCCCCGGAGGGCAGCUCUGAAAGGGCGCCGGUGGCACUGAGGAAGAGAAGGAACAACGAGGUGUUCUAAGGGCUCUGCCCUCACCCUGUGGGCACCCGGACCGCUGCCCCCACCCAGCCCUGGAGCCCCAGGCCGCCACACCCCACGACCUGGUACCUUGCUCCUCUUCACGUAGGAAUCCUCUUCAUAAACAUCUCGGGACAGACCAAAAUCCGAGAUCUUCAUCCUGCGCCCUUCGGCUACCAGGACGUUUCUGGCUGCCAAGUCCCGAUGGACGAGCUGCGAGGAAGACAACAGCAGGGACCCCUGAAACCCCAGCCCACUGCAGGCGGUUGGAGGGGCUGGGCUGGGGCGGCACGCACCUUCAUCUCGGCCAGAUGCAGCACCACCACUCCUGAACCUUCCAAGGGAGGAACAUCCUUGCUCUGCUUCUCCAGGGCCCAGCUGGGGCCACAUCAUCCAUGGUGGGGGUCCCCGGCUGCAGCCACUCAAGGGGGGCAAUGGGAGCGCUCUCCAGGAGGCACGAGGCUGGCCACGGGAGCCCUGGCUGUCGCGGUGGCUUUAUCCACCCCGUGGGGCCCCGUACUUGUAGGUACUGCCUGGACAGGUACCUUUCAA